AGUGAACGCUGGCGGUAGGCCUAACACAUGCAAGUCGAACGGCAGCACAGAGGAGCUUGCUCCUUGGGUGGCGAGUGGCGGACGGGUGAGGAAUACAUCGGAAUCUACUCUGUCGUGGGGGAUAACGUAGGGAAACUUACGCUAAUACCGCAUACGACCUACGGGUGAAAGCAGGGGACCUUCGGGCCUUGCGCGAUUGAAUGAGCAGAUGUCGGAUUAGCUAGUUGGCGGGGUAAAGGCCCACCAAGGCGACGAUCCGUAGCUGGUCUGAGAGGAUGAUCAGCCACACUGGAACUGAGACACGGUACAGACUCCUACGGGAGGCAGCAGUGGGGAAUAUUGGACAAUGGGCGCAAGCCUGAUCCAGCCAUACCGCGUGGGUGAAGAAGGCCUUCGGGUUGUAAAGCCCUUUUGUUGGGAAAGAACUCCAGCUGGCUAAUACCCGGUUGGGAUGACGGUACCCAAAGAAUAAGCACCGGCUAACUUCGUGCCAGCCGCCGCAGUAA
rnacentral:rRNA from 1 species